rnacentral:rRNA from 1 species
GUGGGGAAUAUUGGACAAUGGGCGCAAGCCUGAUCCAGCCAUGCCGCGUGAGUGAUGAAGGCCUUAGGGUUGUAAAGCUCUUUCGUCAGGGAAGAUAAUGACGGUACCUGAAGAAGAAGCCCCGGCUAACUUCGUGCCAGCAGCCGCGGUAAUACGAAGGGGGCUAGCGUUGCUCGGAAUCACUGGGCGUAAAGCGCACGUAGGCGGCUUUCUAAGUCAGGGGUGAAAUCCUGGAGCUCAACUCCAGAACUGCCUUUGAGACUGGAGAGCUUGAGUUCGGGAGAGGUGAGUGGAACUGCGAGUGUAGAGGUGAAAUUCGUAGAUAUUCGCAAGAACACCAGUGGCGAAGGCGGCUCACUGGCCCGAUACUGACGCUGAGGUGCGAAAGCGUGGGGAGCAAACAGGAUUAGAAACCCUGGUAGUCC